GGCCCUGGAGGUGGUGGCAGCCUGACAGCCGGAGCGUUGGAGGAGGCCCGGGAUAGUUCGGGGUCCCUGGAAGCCUGCAGAGACGGAGGCUCCGCCGCCCUUCCAGAAGCAGAGGGAAAGAGCGGAUGCCCAAGAGCUCCGCCGGGCCACCGGGGGAAAAAAAAAGUACCCACCUUUUAAAGUGCGUUUUUGGGUAGAUACAUAGUUUAAGAUAUGAAAGACCAGGCUAUCUUCCUGGGCACAGAUGGAAAAAUACCCCUACCCCAGCUUCGAAAUGAAACCAAAGUUUCAGUGCCUGAUGCCUGCAGCAGCUGAUCGGUUCUGUCAUCUUUACUGUUUUUGUGUACAUUACUUCAAUAGCCUAUGAUUUCUUCUGCUCUGGAACUGCACAGAUCUAUAAAUCAAGUGCUCUUGGAAGACUCCAGUGUCAGGGUGGCUCAAAAGUGUCCUGGCUGCAAGCAUAGUGGACAGCUCAUGAACUCUUAUGAAGAGGGCUGCUGAUUUUCCAGCUGAAACUGCUCCUUCUAGGAAGGUUUGUGAUAAUCUCACAUCUUGGAUUGUAGGGUGGUAUUUUUCAAGACUGGUGGGGGGUUGUCUACUGCUGCCAAGAAGAGAAUGACAAAACUUCCAAAACUUCAUAGGAAGACCGUUGGAAAUGAGUCUAUGCCCAGGUGAAUUUAUCUGUGAUGGUCCUGGACAGAUCUUUGAUGUUUGAUCUUGUUUUCUUGUCAGUUAUUUGUUUUUGUUAAGAUAGUGAUUGUUCCUUUGGUUCCUAGUUUUUGUUUUAUUCUAAUUAGAGUUUGCUCACUGACAAUGUGCUUCUACCAUUAACCCCAUUCAGACUUGGCAUCGUCUAUAGUUUUCUAAGUACCUGCAUUUUAUUUUGCUUGUGCCUCAAUGACUGGAGAUAUUCUGCUGAAAAAUGUUAUUUGAACACAAGAAUCAGGAUUUUUCAAUGGUCCUUGUUAACAUCUAGGAUAUAUAAUGCUCCUUAUGAUCUUAUAACUAUAUCUGAAAGUUCUCUAGUUUGUGUGGGUUUCAAACACUAGGGUACAUCACAAUGUGUUUGGAAAAACAUGUUCUUGCGUUCUACCCCUGGAGUUUCCUACUGUAUGGUUUGUGUACAGAGGAACCUGUGUCCAUUCACUCUUGGCCUUUGGACCCAUGAACAGAAGAACUCAGAUAAAUGAUGGAUCCAACUGAAACUUUUGAGGUUUUAGAUCCCAAACAACUAGUCUGAUUUUCAAAGUCAGAGUUACCGCAUAGUGUUUAGAAGGAUUUUUGCUAUCGAGAGCAAAUUUUCUCUGAGCUUUUGAAACAACUUAAUUCAAGGCUAGGAAUCUGAACAUGCUAAAAUUUAAAACAAGAUCCUCCAAGUUAAAAGACAGUGUCAAUGAAGCAUUUCUUAAAAUGUUACUCUCUGGCUUCUGUAUGUUCAGUACAGUAAAGUCUUGAUUAAACAUAUGA